AAUGAUGAUAAAAAAAAAAAAAAAAUUGCACAUUUGUUAGAACAGAACCAAAGAUGUGUUGAAUCUUUAUUAUCUGAAAUA